CGUAAGCCAGGUCGGUUUCUAUCUUUAUUUAAUUUAAAUAUUUUAGUACGAAAGGACCAAAUAUUUUAUAUAUUUAUAUAUUUAUUUUUGAAUAUUAUUA
rnacentral:rRNA from 1 species